ACCAUUAGAUUUGAAUAAUAAUGGCUCGGAUUAAAAGAUUUUACGUAACAUGCUAACAUGUAUUUACUAACUUAUUGGACUAGCACGUUGUUACGUCUAUGCAUAUGCAUAUAUGAUACAUGUAUAUACGGAAAGACUCAAUCAUCCAGGCAGGAAUCAUGCAGACAACACGUCAAGGAAAAAAGAAUAGUUCGGACAGCCUAGGAAACCUCUCUAAUCCCAAACCGUCCAGCUGUAAUCACGUAAGAGAAGAUACAUAACCGAUGCUCAAAAAAAAAAGAUACAUAGCCACACCUUGAUCUAAUUCCAUAUCAGGCAUAUCAAUGCCAAAAAAACAAGGAUAACUACAGCCAGAAUCUAUAGAACUCCACACGGAGACUUGAUAGAAGGUAAUUCCACAUGGAGUCUUCAUAAGAGAAACUCCACAUGGAUCGGCCAAGGCAACAAAUCAGAAAGGCACCCAGCCGGCCACAUCCAAUCCCAAUAGUCAAAGGAAAACGAUAAAAAAAAAGCCAGAUGAUUUAAUCGCGUCUUAAGCCGCCUCCAAUGCUUGACACGCGUCCCUGUGAGGACCACCACCGAGUGUUCCCUUAACUGGUCAUCUAUUCACGGGAAAGAAAACUCGUCCAGUAGUUUUCUCUCUUCUUCCCCGAGCGUUCCCUUACGAAAAAGCAUAGCAGAGACCGAGCUCCACAUAGCUCGUUAUUUCUUUUCAGCAAAAAUACUAUUUCCACACAUUGAAAAAAUCUGUAAAAAAGUAUAUACAUAGAUGUUUAUUUGUAGUAUACAUGUAUAAAAUUUCAUGAACAUAUAUGUUAACAUGUAAUGUAUACAAAAAAGAUAAAUACACAGAUUAAAAUGGGCUUUAUCUUUGUCGUUUUUGGGCCAAAUAUUUAUCUUUUUUGUGUAGCAUGUAAAUAAUCAAAUUACCUGAUGAAACUUUUUUGUAACUUGACGAACAGUCAUAUGUAUUUGUAUAAAAAGAUUUGAUAUUUUUUGAAACUGUUAAGUAUAUUCUGAUUUUUUUUUGAUAAAACGGGCUCCAUGGAACCCGGCCUCUGCGACGCCUCACUCCGUUCCCUUAUCCUUAUCUCCAACAAGAACUCCAACGACCUUCUUGUCCCCUUCCUGUCGAUUCACUUUUCUCCAGCAACCAGCCGCGAAGGACGGCGUCCCCUCCGACCACCGCGUGCAUCAAUGCGGCUGCUGCUUCAAGAUCCGCCGUCAUGCCGUCACCACCCGCCUGCUGCGUCGCAGCAUCUCCGUCGCCCCGCGCUGCGUCGCAGCCUCCGCGGUCGCCGUCGUGCUUCAUCACAGCACCUCGUGGCCGUCGCGCUGCGCUGCACUGAAGCUUCGCCGGCGGCCAUCAGGUGCUGCGGUGGAGUUUCGACGGAGCAGCCGGUGAUACGAUGAAGCACCGGCGCAUGGCGAUGGUGCUGCAGUGAAGCUUCGCCGGCGGCGUCAGGAUGCUGCCAUGGAGCACUGCGGCGCCGAUGUUGGUGCUGCAACGAAACAUCGUCAGGGUUGCAAUGUAGCACUGCCGGAGUUGCAAUGAAGCGUCAUAGGGGUCGUUAAAGCGCCGCCGGAGUUGCAAUGAAGCACCGCCGGAGCUGCAGUGAGGCGAUGGGGUGUCAUCGGAGCUCCGGCAGGGGUUGCAUUGAAGCACCGUCGGGCACCGUCGGUGCUGGCAUGGGAGCUACUGCCAUGAGAGCUGCUGCUUUGGUGCUGCCACGGGGGAGCUUCCUGAUCCUACGGAUGUGAAACGUCAAAUCGGACGGAUUAGGAGGCGGCUUAAUUUUGGACAAAAUCAUCCGGAUGAUUUGUAGCACCCCCUCAAAGGAAAACGAUAGUCAAAUCCAACCAAUUCUGGACAAAUUGAUGUGUGUAAAUCUGCUACCCAAUCAGAGCACCACCGAGAAAAUUGAAGUCUUCCAGAAUCUGCUACCCGGCUAGAGCACCACCAACAAAAUCAAAGACUACAGAACAACUCUACUAUCCGACUAGAGCACCACCAACAAAAUCAAAGAUUGUCGGCUCUGUGAUGCUAGAAAAAUAUAAAAAACGCCAAAACUCCGAUGUGACUGCAUCUCAAUGCCAGAUGAAGUCAGCAAAGGUCUUCUGAGCUGCCUCUCACCUGAAUCAGGUUCGUAAAUAUUAUGAAUUAAUUAAUUCAUUUAUCAGAAUAAAAGCUGCAUAGAUAGAUGACUAGCAAUUUCAGAAUCCUUUCACAGCCAAAAAAACUAUGGUGUUGAAGAAGCUUAUUGCUUACGAACAACAGGACAAACUAUAACAUUCAAGUGAAUGUAUAGAGAAUGUGGGAUUACCUCAAUCAUACAACAGAUCAACAAUUUAAAACAAGCAAAUGCUAAUUAUAUUUUGUUUUCAUUGACAUGGCAAAACAGUUCAUGUUACUAUGAACAUUAAAAGUAUCAUGCUAUCAUCUGGAGGAAUUUGAUACACUUAUAUUGGUGAAAGAAAAUGAUAAUUAUAUUUAUGCAUAUAACACUUUUUUAUGUGUAUGCAUAUAAUACUUUUAAAAAGGUCAAAGUAAUUCAUGUGCACACCUAAGUAAUUCAAUCCACUAGGAAAUAAUCAUUCAUGUACAGACAUAUUUCAGUAUGGGCACAUACAAAGCUAAGUCCUCUAUACAAAUUAGAAAAACAUGGGCAUGUCCUUUUGAGAAAAAGAGAUACGCCUAAGUAAUUCAAUCUACUAGGAGUACAAAAUCAGAUCAUCUAGACAAUUUAAAAAUAAUGGGCAGGUCCUUCGGAGAAAAACAAAAGGCCCGCCAAAAUCAUUCAUUUUACUGGGAAAUAUACUAAAAAGUCUAGCCGCCAAACACAUCCCAUGUGUACAUCAGUACAUGCAUGCACUUGCAUCUAAUUCUAAUGGACAGACAUGUGGACUUAACGGCCAGAAAAAUAGACAUUGAUAUGAGGCACAGUACAAAAAAACAAGCGCCAACCUAUCUAAACGCCGGAUAUAUUUGAGCCUCUACAAACUAUAAAUCCAAAAUAAAUCAUUUAUGGUAAAAUCUAUAUAUCGAUUGAUCAAGAUUUCGAGUCAUGCAAGAUAAAUAUAAAUAGCUUCUAUUAUUUAUCCAAAUGAAUCGUGACUCAUGUUUAUUCACCAAUAUUACAUAACAAUUUUACUUGACUAACUCCAUAUAUGCAGGAGAAGAAAGUUUACCAAAAUUGAUCGAGAUGGAUAGCAAUAAACAAGGAGCGUAGAAAUAUUUUACAGAAGGAUAACAUUACAACUUACUGGAAUGAGGCACAAAAACCAGACACAUCAGGUGAUGGAUCAAACUUCUUCUAAGAUAUGAUAUCACCACUUCUUGAGGAAAACGACACUCUCAGACCUGCAGUGCUUUUCAGAUAAUUGAGUCAUAUCAGUUAUAAUGGAAUCAUAUCUGAAUUAUUUGUCUGUCAACUUCUUCGGGAUGCUAACUUUAAUUUUUUGGGUGAUUAUUUUAGGAUUUUGUUUUUCACAACAAUAGGUAUAAUAAUCUAUUACACGAAAAUAUUCAAAUGAUCAAAUUCCGGUUGACACAAACUAACUACGUACAAAGGGAAAUGGAAGGUGUUACUGCAAAAAUUGUGGUACAUAUCUACACCUGGUAAGCAUAUUCUGCUAAUUUGAUUGAGAACUUCCAUAUUAUAUUUACUCUGCACUAAUAACAGUGGUAUGUAAAAAUUGCUAAGCUUAUUGGAUGGCAAGAUCUGAUUAGCACCAAGCAAACCAUUUAUGUUUACUGAGAUAGAGAAAUAAUGCUUGACAUCGAUCAGUAUAAGGGGGACAGUUAUUAGAUAAGGGUCAAAAGUUAGCACUAUGAGAAGCAUGUCAAAUUGUAAUUAUUCGAAAUACAUUCAUACAUGCACUUUUGUGAGUUUAAUGUUCUUGGAAAUAACCCUUCUAUUCUACAGCCUUUUCGAUUGAAGAGAACAAUGAGAAAAGCUUUAGUAUUAGAGGCAUCUCCUACAACACAUGUGAAUUUGUCGAAAAACAACACAUGUGAAAAAUCUAAAAUCUAUUGCAUAUCAAUUAACAUAUAUGGGCCAAAUUCAGUUAAUACAUGCAAGCAUUCUUCCUUUGUCUUAAAUAGAGCUACUGUUAAUAUAAAUUGCUAAUAUAUGGUGGGGAAGACUACAAUAGAAACUGGCCAUAGGAUAGAAGAAUAGAAAAAUGAAGUUAGAGCCGUUGGAUCCUUAAUGGAUGCUUCAGAUUUGAAAUGUCCUUAAUGGAUCCUUAAUGGCAAGUCACAUAACUAUAAAUUAUAUCCUAGCUCUCAGCCAGUGCCACAAAUAGGAGAGCAACGCCACUCAGGGAAACGAAACCGCUUUGCCUCGCAGCCUUGCUGCUUUGGGGCGCAAAAUCCUUCUCUCCAACAGAAAAUUUCUACACUGGAAAAGACAGAGAAAGGUCAGGAGACCAUAAGCAUAAAAUCUUCAUAAAGAAUCCAUGCCAUUGCUGGAGGUUAGUAGACCAAGAUCUGGGAAGGAAGGAGAAGGAGAGGAAGAGGAGUGAUUACCUGGAGGAGUGCCACCGCUCAGGUUCAAGUGGACCCAAAUCCAUGUCCAUCAAAUCGACGACGGCAGCGAGCAGCAGGCACGUGUGGUCGAGCUAGACGACGUGCCGCCGCCGGGAGCUUGCAGGCUGCAGCCACCGCACUCUGCCCCAAAUCCCACUUCCCCCCGUCCUCUUUUCUUGGCAGGAUCUAGCAACGAAUUGUGGACGAAUCCUUAGAUUAGGUAAGGAACAGAGAGAAAGGAAUGGGAG
rnacentral:lncRNA from 1 species